rnacentral:lncRNA from 1 species
CAGCCUCUCAAAGGGCUGGGAUAACAGAUGUAAGCCACUGCAUCUGGCCUCCAAUGAGUUGUUAUGUGAAGAGAACGUGAUUAAGUUAGAGGACUCCAACCAGGCCUGAACUCUCAAGGACAGAAAUGGGUCCAACCUGGCAUGACAUCCUCUAAAUCUUUAGCUCCCGGCCUCUCAGGUGCCCCCUCCAGCUACCUCCCUCUUCCUUCUCUUCAUUCCCCAAGCCAUAGCUGGUUGGGCCAACCUCCAGACAUUAGCCUCUUUGCAAACUCCUAUUCAUCCCUCAAAGCCUCACCUUCAAUGCUCUCCUCCCCAAGAAGCUCUCUCCUCUACCUCUAGACCUUUUCCAGCCCUCUUCCCUCUUUCCGGCCCAGCCCUGACUCCUGGGA